GCGAUCCCCGCCGUGCCCCCCCGGCCCUGCCCUCAUCCCGGUGACACUCGUGUCCUCCUAUUAACCCUGCGGGGAGAAGGACAAAAGCUAAACUAUGAUCCUGCGCUGCUUCCCCCCACCCCGCCCCAUCCCGCUGCCGGCUCCAUGAGCUUCACAUCCUCCUGCUAAGGCUGAAAGGAACAAGAACAAGAGCUGCUGAUGGUUCAUCAGGCUUCUGUCUACAAAGAGCUGAUGAUCCCCUGAGCUGCUGAGUUACCAAAGCACCUUGCCCAGGACCAGCUCAGGCUCUCCCUCCCUCAUGGCCGGAGUGGAAAAGCACGUUUAAAUCCCGAACUCGGCUUUCCCACGUGGUGUCUCGCUGAGCUGCUGUCACAGCCACGCCGCGCUCUCACAGGGCACCGGACUUCUCCCCUGCCCUGCCGGGAGGGCACAAGGAGGCAGCCUUCAUCGAGCGAGGAGAGCGAAUCUUGGCAAAAAGAGCACCGAAGGAUGUGAACCCCUUGGAAAAUUCCACUUCCUGCCCAGCACUGCGUGUCCUUGGGUCUCUCACUCAUUCCCAUGCACUUAACGAGGGAUUUCUGCCUCAGGCCACCACACCAACUUUCUAAAUAAAUGCCGCGCACACCCGA